CAGUAGCGUAUAUUAAAGUUGUUGCAGUUAAAAAGCUCGUAGUUGGAUUUCUGGUUGAAGCGACCGGUCGGGCGUUGAUUCGUCUGCACUGGAGUCGGUUUUGGCCAUCCUCUAGGAAAGUGCGUCUGGUAUUAAGUUAUCGGGCGUAUGAUCCUGGUCUUUUACUGUGAAAAAAUUAGAGUGUUUAAAGCAGGCCUUCGCCUUGAAUACAUUAGCAUGGAAUAAUAAGAUAGGACUUUGGUCUAUUUUGUUGGUUUGCAGACCGAAGUAAUGAUUAAUAGGGAUAGUUGGGGGUAUCUAUAUUCCGAUGUCAGAGGUGAAAUUCUUAGAUUUUCGGAAGAUAAACUUAUGCGAAAGCAUUUACCAAGGAUGUUUUCAUUA
rnacentral:rRNA from 1 species